GCAGUUGGUGGUGACUUAUUGAAAGAAAACUAAAGAAUUAAACAGUAUGGGAUCAUAAAUAGAGAAGCUUACAGAAGAUGGGGACUUUCAAAUGAAGGAGAGUAAGGAAAGUGAUUGGGGUAUUCCAAGAAGUGAAGAAUCAAUUGUCAUGUGUUUGGAAUUCAAGAUAUUGUACAACUAUUCCCACAAAAAGAAGCAUUUCCCUACAGACUACCGUGUGGCAACAUAAAUCCAAAGGACAAACGAGGCCUAGUUAAAAGCCACACUCCUGCAAAUUUAGUCUAUAUUGUUUGCAUACAAAAGGACUCAACCAAUAUACAUACUAAAGGAAAAACUCUGCUUUAAAAAUUAGACUUACCUGUCAUAUCCA